CAGUUUUGUGGUCUUUCAAUUACUUGAUUAAGUUUUGUGUUGCUACUGAUCACAGAAAGUCUAUAAUUUUCAAAGCAUAUUUAAGCAUUUUAUGAGCAAGCCAGAAAAUAACAAACUGUUGGCUUUGUUACAGUAUAUCAGUUAAACAUUGAGAAGAUUGAGGUGGUUUUUAUUACAACCAAAGUGGUCACUUACAAAUAAGACAUGUGACUUCAUUAGUUUUAAUUCAAAAUUGAGUUUUUUCUUAUAGUCAUCUUUCAUGUUUCGGUAUUAAUUUGGAGUGUGUUUUAUUAAAGGAUUAAAAG